UGGAGCGUAGGGUGAGCAGUGAAUCGCUUCUAAUCUAUACCUCAGUUACUAGUCGGUCGUGAGACUGACGAACGCGCGAGGCUUGAUCUUGGACCCCAAGCCUUAGUUACUAGUCGGUCGUGAGGCCGACGAACGCGCGCAGGGUUAGGACCAUUUGAACUCUUGACCUCAAAUCAGGUAGGACUACCCGCUGAACUUAA
rnacentral:misc_RNA from 1 species